rnacentral:rRNA from 1 species
AAAUUAAUCUCCCCGUGAAGAAGCGGGGAUACUCAUAUAAGACGAGAAGACCCCAUGGAGCUUCAAACCCAACUACACCCCUAGCUCUUAUAGCCCCACAACCCCCCCUAGGCGCCGUGUGCUUGGUUUUAGGUUGGGGCGACCGCGGAGUACAAUAAAACCUCCACAAUGAAUGGGAACACCCCCUUAUCUGAGGGCCACACCCCCUAAGAAUUAGAACACUAACAUAAAAUGAUCCAUUACUUGAUCAAUGAACCAAGUUACCCUGGGGAUAACAGCGCAAUCCAUUUCAAGAGCCCCUAUCGACAAAUGGGUUUACGACCUCGAUGUUGGAUCAGGGUACCCCAGUGGUGCAGCAGCUACUAACGGUUCGUUUGUUCAACGAUUAAAACCCU